CAUUUUUAGUAUAAAUGACUCAUUUAAUGAGCUGACCAUCGCAUUUUUUAAUAAAUAAUGAAACAGUAAAGAAUUGAGGAUCUUGACAGCUGUCGCCGAAGCUCAAAACGUCCAAAGUAAGGAGUACCCUGAAUUCAUGCAAUGAAAAGCUUGAAGGAAUUGAAUCAUCUGCUGUUGACCCAAAUGAUGUAGAGUGCUUAGAUAAAAUUGUAAUAAAUCAGAAAAAGAUCAU